AUAGAUAGUUAGAUAGACGAUAGAUAGAGAUCCUAACAAAGGGAAAUUACUGUUACAGCAGCAAAAUAUCAGACAAACAGCACACAUACAGAAUAUGCAUUAAAUAAUAGGAUACAAUAUACAGUAACGAAUUAAAUAUUACA